rnacentral:rRNA from 1 species
UCCGUAGGGUGAACCUGCGGAGGGAUCAUUACCGAGUUUACAACUCCCAAACCCCUGUGAACAUACCAAUUGUUGCCUCGGCGGAUCAGCCCGCUCCCGGUAAAACGGGACGGCCCGCCAGAGGACCCUUAAACUCUGUUUCUAUAUGUAACUUCUGAGUAAAACCAUAAAUAAAUCAAAACUUUCAACAACGGAUCUCUUGGUUCUGGCAUCGAUGAAGAACGCAGCAAAAUGCGAUAAGUAAUGUGAAUUGCAGAAUUCAGUGAAUCAUCGAAUCUUUGAACGCACAUUGCGCCCGCCAGUAUUCUGGCGGGCAUGCCUGUUCGAGCGUCAUUUCAACCCUCAAGCCCAGCUUGGUGUUGGGACUCGCGAGUUAAACCGCGUUCCCCAAAUUGAUUGGCGGUCACGUCGAGCUUCCAUAGCGUAGUAGUAAAACCCUCGUUACUGGUAAUCGUCGCGGCCACGCCGUUAAACCCCAACUUCUGAAUGUUGACCUCGGAUCAGGUAGGAAUACCCGCUGAACUUAAGCAUAUCAAUAA